rnacentral:rRNA from 1 species
UACAGAGGGGGCAAGCGUUGUUCGGAAUUACUGGGCGUAAAGGGCGCGUAGGCGGCCGCCUAAGUCAGACGUGAAAUCCCUCGGCUCAACCGGGGAACUGCGUCUGAUACUGGGUGGCUUGAAUCCGGGAGAGGGAUGCGGAAUUCCAGGUGUAGCGGUGAAAUGCGUAGAUAUCUGGAGGAACACCGGUGGCGAAGGCGGCCUGCUGGGCAGUAGCUGACGCUGAGGCGCGACAGCGUGGGGAGCAAACAGG